rnacentral:rRNA from 1 species
GAUAAUCCGUGAACGCUGGAAUGCCUCACGGUUGAAAGCUUUAGCGUCUGAGGAUGGGUCUGCGGCCGAUUAGGUAGUUGCUGGGGUAACGUCCCAACAAGCCAAUAAUCGGUACGGGUUGUGAGAGCAAGAGCCCGGAGAUGGAUUCUGAGACACGAAUCCAGGCCCUACGGGGCGCAGCAGGCGCGAAAACUUUACACUGCGCGAAAGCGCGAUAAGGGGACCUCGAGUGCGUGCGCAAUGCGUACGCUUUUCAGAUGCCUAAAAAGCAUGUGGAAUAAGGGCCGGGCAAGACCGGUGCCAGCCGCCGCGGUAACACCGGCGGCUCAAGUGGUGGCCGCUAUUAUUGGGCUUAAAGGGUCCGUAGCCGGACCAGUUAGUCCCUUGGGAAAUCUUACGGCUUAACCGUAAGGCUGCCAAUGGAUACUGCUGGUCUUGGGACCGGGAGAGGUAAGAGGUACUUCAGGGGUAGGAGUGAAAUCCUGUAAUCCUUGAGGGACCGCCAGUGGCGAAGGCGUCUUACUAGAACGGGUCCGACGGUGAGGGACGAAAGCUAGGGGCACGAACCGGAUUAGAUACCCGGGUAGUCCUAGCCGUAAACGAUGCGAGCUAGGUGUCACGUGGAUUGCGAAUCCAUGUGGUGCCGAAGGGAAACCGUGAAGCUCGCCGCCUGGGAAGUACGGCCGCAAGGCUGAAACUUAAAGGAAUUG